rnacentral:antisense_RNA from 1 species
CACCCCCCUUCUUCCCCGGGGCCUUCCACCUCCGCGAGUUUUAUGACUUAAAAAACCCCACAGGCUGGUCUGAAGAGGAAGACAAACAUAAAGAUGAAGUGCUUAAUUCAAGGUCACACAAUGUCGGGGAUGGACCUCCAGAUUUCCUUACUGGAAAACAAGCUCAGGGCUCCCACUGAUUGUACAUUAUGACCAAGUGUGUUGGGGACUUGAGAUGCGUACAUGAGUGUUUGUGAUGUUUCCUGCCGAAAGCACAGGUGAGACGUGGUCUUGUAACACAGUGGUUAAGAAUGUGACUUUGGAGCCAGCCUGCUAGGGGCUGAAUUCUGACUCAGCCAUUUACUAACUGUGUGACCUUAGGUCACAGAAUUUUCCACACUCCUUGACGGAGGUGCUUAACCCUUAUCCAUCAGCAUUCUCAGACAGCACCUCCGGUUAGGGACAGUAUCUGACCGUCCGACAUCCCUGCAGCCCCCAUGUGUCACACAGACUCAGCCUCAGGUAGAUGGUUUCCGUAGAUGGUGGCUUUCUUUGGACCCUUGACAUCAACCAGUUACUAUUUGGGGACCAGAUGUGCAGAGGUAAUGAAUACCAGGGAAUCAGGAAACCACUGGAUCAGUUCUUUGAGCCACAGAACAACACUCAUCCCAGCAGCUGGGAAGCUAUCUGC